rnacentral:rRNA from 1 species
AUUGAACGCUGGCGGCGUGCCUAAUACAUGCAAGUAGAACGCCGUUCCGAACGGGUGAGUAACGCGUAGGUAACUGCCCCAUAGCGGGGGAUAACCUUUGGAAACGAUAGCCAAUACCGCAUACUGUGAGCUGGAUCUGCGUUGUGUUAGCUAGUUGGUGAGGUAAAGGCUCACCAAGGCGAAGAUACAUAGCCGACCUGAGAGGGAGGUCGACCACACUGGGGCGGGGGCACGGCCCAAACUCCUUCGGGAGGCAGCCAGUGGGAAUCUGCGGCAAUGGACCGAAAGCUGACCGAACAACGGCGGGUGAUAGGAGAAAGUUUUCAGAUCUGAAAACUAUUUUGUGCGGGAAGCGUUAACUAACGAAAAAGGGACGGCUAACUACGUGCCAGCAGCCGCGGUAAUAC